AUACCUGCAAGUCGAGCGGACAGAUGGGAGCUUGCUCCCUGAUGUUAGCGGCGGACGGGUGAGUAACACGUGGGUAACCUGCCUGUAAGACUGGGAUAACUCCGGGAAACCGGGGCUAAUACCGGAUGCUUGAUUGAACCGCAUGGUUCAAUUAUAAAAGGUGGCUUUUAGCUACCACUUACAGAUGGACCCGCGGCGCAUUAGCUAGUUGGUGAGGUAACGGCUCACCAAGGCAACGAUGCGUAGCCGACCUGAGAGGGUGAUCGGCCACACUGGGACUGAGACACGGCCCAGACUCCUACGGGAGGCAGCAGUAGGGAAUCUUCCGCAAUGGACGAAAGUCUGACGGAGCAACGCCGCGUGAGUGAUGAAGGUUUUCGGAUCGUAAAACUCUGUUGUUAGGGAAGAACAAGUACCGUUCGAAUAGGGCGGUACCUUGACGGUACCUAACCAGAAAGCCACGGCUAACUACGUGCCAGCAGCCGCGGUAAUACGUAGGUGGCAAGCGUUGUCCGGAAUUAUUGGGCGUAAAGCGCGCGCAGGCGGUUUCUUAAGUCUGAUGUGAAAGCCCCCGGCUCAACCGGGGAGGGUCAUUGGAAACUGGGGAACUUGAGUGCAGAAGAGGAGAGUGGAAUUCCACGUGUAGCGGUGAAAUGCGUAGAGAUGUGGAGGAACACCAGUGGCGAAGGCGACUCUCUGGUCUGUAACUGACGCUG
rnacentral:rRNA from 1 species